rnacentral:rRNA from 1 species
UGCUUACACAUGCAAGUCGAGCGGUAAGGCCCUUUCGGGGGUACACGAGCGGCGAACGGGUGAGUAACACGUGGGUGACCUGCCCUCCACUCUGGGAUAAGCCCGGGAAACUGGGUCUAAUACCGGAUAGGACACGUUGAUGCAUGUCUUCGUGUGGAAAGUUUUUUCGGUGGGGGAUGGGCCCGCGGCCUAUCAGCUUGUUGGUGGGGUGAUGGCCUACCAAGGCGGUGACGGGUAGCCGGCCUGAGAGGGCGACCGGCCACACUGGGACUGAGACACGGCCCAGACUCCUACGGGAGGCAGCAGUGGGGAAUAUUGCGCAAUGGGCGGAAGCCUGACGCAGCGACGCCGCGUGGGGGAUGACGGCCUUCGGGUUGUAAACCUCUUUCGCCAGGGACGAAGCUUUUGUGACGGUACCUGGAGAAGAAGCACCGGCCAACUACGUGCCAGCAGCCGCGGUAACACGUAGGGUGCGAGCGUUGUCCGGAAUUAUUGGGCGUAAAGAGCUCGUAGGCGGUGUGUCGCGUCGGCCGUGAAAACUUGGGGCUUAACUCUGAGCGUGCGGUCGAUACGGGCAUCACUUGAGUUCGGCAGGGGAGACUGGAAUUCCUGGUGUAGCGGUGAAAUGCGCAGAUAUCAGGAGGAACACCGGUGGCGAAGGCGGGUCUCUGGGCCGAUACUGACGCUGAGGAGCGAAAGCGUGGGGAGCGAACAGGAUUAGAUACCCUGGUAGUCCACGCCGUAAACGUUGGGCGCUAGGUGUGGGGACCAUU